rnacentral:rRNA from 1 species
UACGAAGGGGGCAAGCGUUGUUCGGAAUUACUGGGCGUAAAGGGCGCGUAGGCGGCUCUUGAAGUCAGAUGUGAAAGCCCCGGGCUCAACCUGGGAAUUGCAUUCGAGACUGCUCUGCUAGGGUGCGGAAGAGGGAAGCGGAAUUUCCGGUGUAGCGGUGAAAUGCGUAGAUAUCGGAAGGAACACCAGUGGCGAAGGCGACUUACUGGACACAUAUUGACGCUGAGGAGCGAAAGCGUGGGGAGCGAACAGG